GAGUUUGAUCGUGGCUCAGAGCGAACGUUAGCGGCGGGCCUAACACAUGCAAGUCGAACGAGAAUGUAGGCUUCGGUCUACUAGUAAAGUGGCGGACGGGUGCGUAACACGUGGGUAAUCUACCUUCCGGCGGGGGACAACAGUCCGAAAGGAUUGCUAAUACCGCGUACGUCAGCGGCGCCUACGGGCGCUGUUGGGAAAGAUGGCCUCUCCUUGGAAGCUAUCACCGGAAGAUGAGCCCGCGUCCCAUCAGCUAGUUGGUGAGGUAAUGGCUCACCAAGGCUAAGACGGGUAGCUGGUCUGAGAGGAUGAUCAGCCACACUGGGACUGCGACACGGCCCAGACUCCUACGGGAGGCAGCAGUGGGGAAUAUUGGGCAAUGGGCGAAAGCCUGACCCAGCCACGCCGCGUGAGUGAUGAAGGCCUUCGGGUCGUAA
rnacentral:rRNA from 1 species